GAACGAUACAGAGAAGAUUAGCAUGGCC
rnacentral:piRNA from 6 species